UGAUACUCUGUCUCAAAACAAAAUAAGAAAGC
rnacentral:piRNA from 1 species